GGGGAUCUUAUCUGGACAUCUCUGUGCACCUAUAGUGUUCUGAAGGUGAACAGUGCUGCCUGUUCAGGUGCCUCAGACCCCCAACAUCUCAUUGAGAACCAAAGCAGGGACAGCCACUCAGAAAGUCUACUGGGAGAAGAGCAGCCUUUAAAAGGGGCUGAAUUUUCAAAUAGUGACACAACACAGGAGACCUGUUUCUUGAUCCAGC
rnacentral:lncRNA from 1 species